rnacentral:rRNA from 1 species
AACGAACGCUGGCGGCAUGCCUAAUACAUGCAAGUCGAACGAGAAAGUCCCUUCGGGGGCGAGUAGAGUGGCGCACGGGUGAGUAACACGUAGGUGACCUGCCUAUAAGUUGGGGAUAACAGAGAGAAAUUUCUGCUAAUACCGGAUGUGCUGUACAACUUUGAAAGGAGUACAGUAAAGGCCGCAUCCUUCGGGGUGCAGUUGCUUAUAGAGGGGCCUGCGGGCCAUUAGCUUGUUGGUGGGGUAAAGGCCUACCAAGGCGACGAUGGCUAGCCGGUUUGAGAGAACGAUCGGCCACACUGGAACUGAGACACGGUCCAGACUCCUACGGGAGGCAGCAGUAGGGAAUAUUGCGCAAUGGGGGAAACCCUGACGCAGCAAUGCCGCAUGAGUGAGGAAGGCCUUAGGGUUGUAAAGCUCUGUCAAUAGGGAAAAACGGCAGUCUGUUUAAGAGAUAGAUUGUUUGAUGGUACCUAUAAAGGAAGCACCGGCUAACUUCGUG